AAUCAUACAUAUCUCAUCAUCUAAUCAAAUCUACUCUACAUUAUCCUUUCUCUAUGUUUAGAUGAUGACUAUGAAUAUGAAGAUACACCUAAUCGGUGUAAUUUUCCAAGUAACAACUUCCUUCCGUUUGAUAUGAAGAAAAUAAGAUGAAAAAAAAAAAUCGGAAAAUGUGAAAAGUUGACAACUAUUCUUGGUGACACGAAGAAUAAUCAAAAGAUUGGCAACACAAUCAAAGGAGAUCACUAAUUAAAUUAAACUCUAAUGAACCUUAAAUUGAUGAGCAUCAUUAAAAUUCAUUUAGAGCGAUUGGUUUCAUCUAUUCUUCAUGCAUCCACAAAAGUUAACAUUGAAAUAAAAAACUUCUUUCAAGAAUAUUAACUCAAAUCAAUUGUUUCCAUAGACUCGAGUUAAUUACUGGAAUCACAGGCGAAAAGCUGAACAACCUUGAUCGCCAUCAUAUCUCAUGUCUUUGUCAAAUAUUGAAGCUCAUCACUUGAAAUCUGAUCAGAGUUUUUAUCAACAGACCAUCAUGCAGAUCAAUUGAUACCAAACUGAUCAGAUAGGAAUGAAUGAAAUCCUCAAGUCGAUAAUGGGAAUCGAAAUAGACAAUUCUUAAGAUCUAAAGGCGACAGAAAGCGAGAUGAUGGUGUGAAUAUUCAUGUCGAUAAUAAUGUAACACCUUCUCCAGUUCGAAUAGAAUAUUUUUCUUGUCAUCAACUUGAGAGCAAAGGAUUUUGAUGACAGGGAAUGAGAAGACACAAUGGAAGAUGAAAAACAUCAACAGAAAAACAAAGUAACGAGAAAGAAAAAGUAAACUGGCUAAAUGAAUGUGUUUCCCUCUUAAAAGAAACAUUUUCCGAAUUAAAUUGGCUAAAUCAGUGGAAAUUGUAUUUCAAUUGAAAUUAUAACUACUGAUGAAGAGAAUUUUUUUUUCUAUUUUCUCCCAAACAAAACAUUAAGAGAGAAAAAACUUCUACUGGUAACGAAGUCGAAGUAUUGUACAAAGGUGAAAGUGAAUGAAUGUUUUUCGAAAUCCAAAUGAUUCUCCCUCAAUUGCUUCUCCUAAAUAUCAUGUAAGAUUAUCUUAAUCGACUUGGAUUUACCCUCAUCUUACCAUCGUCACCAUGAUCAUUAUCAUUCUCGAGGACAUGAUCAGUUUUUUUCCUCUCUUCUACCUCAUCAACAUCAUCAUUAUCUUCACUGUUGAAAAACAACUAAAAUACUCGAUAUGAAAAAGAUACACUUUUAAGAACUAAAAAGUUGGAUGAUAAAAGAAGAUGAAGAUAAAAGUUAUAAACAGUCAGUUCUCUUAAUAAGUUAUGUGUUACACUACUUUCAAAGAUGACUUGUCAUCCUCCCUCCUCAUCACCAUCACCAUCAUCUUCAUGUUCCCCCUGAGGAGUGUUUAUAACAAGCCUUUGCCUCUCUCUCUCUCUCUCUCUCCCAGUGUUCAUUUCUUUAUGUAUAAAAAACGAUGCGUAAUGUGAUAAAUAGACAAUUUAGAUACUCUCACUUGCUAGAUGAUGAAACUCACUUUUUAUCCCAUCUCUUCAUCUUCUUUUUGCAUCUUUGUCAUCAUCAUUUCUCCCACACAAUCAACAAUCAGAAUCUUUUCAUUUCCAUCACUUUAACUUAACCACACAGUUAAUAUCGUUCACUAUUAACGAGAUUUUGUUCUCUUUCAUUCUUCAACAGAAGCAACAAAUAUUAAUGUCAAUGGAAAAUAGGGGGCACACACAUAACGGUAAACACUCCUCGUCCCUUAUUCUCAUCAAGUGACCUUGUCUCGAGACAUCGAAUUGACUGUGUACGUGUGGCUCGAUCUAAACCUAACCACCGACAUUGUCUGAGUCUCUAUUGGAAGAAUAAUAGAGAAAGUAAAAGGAUAAAGUAAUAAUCAUGAUGGAAAAAGAAGGAGGCAAAAAAAGCGAACCAAUAAAACGAGUCACAAGAAGAUGAAGAUGAGAAGAAGAAGAAGAAGAAAAAGUGUAAUGGAUAUCAUGAAAUUGAAAAGCAACCAAACUCACUGAUAAACACUCACAUUUAUAUUUAUAAUGAUAACAAGAAGUAGGAAAAGAUGAGGAUUAAUGGCUCAAAUGGAAUGAAGAAAAUGUGUCAGAGAGAGAGAGAGAGAGAGAGA